rnacentral:rRNA from 1 species
GAUGAACGCUGACAGAAUGCUUAACACAUGCAAGUCAACUUGAAUUUGGGUUUUUAACUUAGAUUUGGGUGGCGGACGGGUGAGUAACGCGUAAAGAACUUGCCUCACAGUUAGGGACAACAUUUAGAAAUGAAUGCUAAUACCUGAUAUUAUGAUUUUAAGGCAUCUUAGAAUUAUGAAAGCUAUAAGCACUGUGAGAGAGCUUUGCGUCCCAUUAGCUAGUUGGAGAGGUAACAGCUCACCAAGGCGAUGAUGGGUAGCCGGCCUGAGAGGGUGGACGGCCACAAGGGGACUGAGACACGGCCCUUACUCCUACGGGAGGCAGCAGUGGGGAAUAUUGGACAAUGGACCGAGAGUCUGAUCCAGCAAUUCUGUGUGCACGAUGAAGUUUUUCGGAAUGUAAAGUGCUUUCAGUUGGGAAGAAAUAAAUGACGGUACCAACAGAAGAAGUGACGGCUAAAUACGUGCCAGCAGCCGCGGUAAUACGUAUGUCACGAGCGUUAUCCGGAUUUAUUGGGCGUAAAGCGCGUCUAGGUGGUUAUGUAAGUCUGAUGUGAAAAUGCAGGGCUCAACUCUGUAUUGCGUUGGAAACUGUAUAACUAGAGUACUGGAGAGGUAAGCGGAACUACAAGUGUAGAGGUGAAAUUCGUAGAUAUUUGUAGGAAUGCCGAUGGGGAAGCCAGCUUACUGGACAGAUACUGACGCUAAAGCGCGAAAGCGUGGGUAGCAAACAGG